rnacentral:rRNA from 1 species
UACGAAGGGGGCUAGCGUUGCUCGGAAUCACUGGGCGUAAAGCGCACGUAGGCGGAUUGUUAAGUCAGGGGUGAAAUCCUGGAGCUCAACUCCAGAACUGCCUUUGAUACUGGCGAUCUUGAGUCCGGGAGAGGUGAGUGGAACUGCGAGUGUAGAGGUGAAAUUCGUAGAUAUUGGGAAGAACACCAGUGGCGAAGGCGGCUAACUGGUCCAGUACUGACGCUGAGGUGCGAAAGCGUGGGGAGCAAACAGG